ACACCUCACUCACCGCUGCCUAUAUUCAAUUCAAACCCAUCAUCCAUGUCUCUUGCAUCAUAAGCAAUUCUACUUUCAUCCUCAUAUCAGAUCUAAUUAUGAUAGUGAAACAAGUGAAGAUUUUUACGAUUUGUUCCGGUGAAAUGCUCAUUGUUGAUGAGUUUGCUACAACCGUGAUUUCUUUGAUUAGCCAACACAAUAUACCAAGUCUUUUUUGUGGCAUUAUUUAAUAUAAUUAUUUGAUUUAAGGGAAAGGAAAGAUAAUUUAUAUUAAAUAAUGUUGUGGGAAGAUUUUUGCUACAUUCAAAUGAAAAAAAAUUGAUGAAGGGUUUGGGUAGUAAGCGAUAGAUCCUGGGUUCGAUCCCCAAUUCAUUGUAAACAAAAAGAAAAAUGCAAAAAAAAUAAAAAACUAAAAUAGAAUUUUCACUGCGAUUUUUUCAACUGACAAAUUCAGAAUUAUACUUGAGUGAUUAA